rnacentral:rRNA from 1 species
AGAAUCAACGCUGGCGGCGUGCCUAACACAUGCAAGUCGCACGAGAAAGGGGAGCAAUCCCUGAGUACAGUGGCGCACGGGUGAGUAACACGUGAAUAAUCUACCUCCGAGUGGGGAAUAACUGAGAGAAAUCUUAGCUAAUACCGCAUAACACUUACGAGUCAAAGCAGCAAUGCGCUUGGAGAGGAGUUCGCGGCCGAUUAGUUAGUUGGCGGGGUAAUGGCCCACCAAGACGAUGAUCGGUAUCCGGCCUGAGAGGGCGCACGGACACACUGGAACUGAAACACGGUCCAGACUCCUACGGGAGGCAGCAGUGGGGAAUUUUGCGCAAUGGGGAAACCCUGACGCAGCAACGCCGCGUGGAGGAUGAAGCCCCUUGGGGUGUAAACUCCUUUCGAUCGGGAAGAUAAUGACGGUACCGAUAUAAGAAGCCCGGCUAACUCGUGCCAGCAGCCGC